UCUCAACGUCGCCACAAUAUAUUUCCUUUUGUAUUAGGAUGCAUUGAUGGAACGCACAUUCCCAUAUCACAACCAAAAAAUGAUGCAAUAAGUUUCUAUAACAGAAAAGGGACGUUUUCCAUCAUUGCACAGGGCAUUGUUGACAGCGAUAUGAAAUUUCUGGACGUCUUUGUCGGCUGUCCCGGACGAUGUCAUGAGGCAUCAGUGUGGCAAAGGAGCCCAUUUCGUAGAGCAGUAGUAAGCGGUGAAUUAAAAUUCCACCAAAUCACCACUUCUUAGGCGACGCAGCUUAUCCGCUAGAAACGUUUCUCAUGGUGCCAUAUCGGGAUAAUGGUUUUUUAACAUCGCAGCAGAGCAAAUUUAACACUAUUUUAAGCACUAACCGAGUUUUUGUUGAACAGGCGUUCGGGAUAUUAAAACAAAAGUUCAGAAUUUUAAAAUUUAUUGGUGUACAGCUCGCUCAUAUUCCAAAAAUUAUUGUAUUAACGUGCAUGAUAAUACAUAACGUGAUUAUAAUCAAUGAAGGUCAGCAAAACAUUGAUUGCAUAGAAUUGGACGAAGAGGAGGCCCAAACAUCUGAAGUUAGUGUUCCAUCAUUGCAAAGAGAUGAAGCCCAACAAAAACGAAAUGCCCUGGCAGCGUUGUUUUCAAGUUGAAUUAAACGACAAUUCUAAAAUAAAAACACAAUUUGAAUAACAUGAACAUAAAUGUAUUUUAUUUCAUAAGAUAGGAACUUUCAAAACUAUAACAUAUAUAUAUAUAUAUAUAUAUAUAU